ACCCAUUGUAGUACAAGAAGUACACGUCUGAACAAAACAAAACAAACUAUUUACAACUUUCAACAACGGAUCUCUUGGUUCUGGCAUCGAUGAAGAACGCAGCGAAAUGCGAUAAGUAGUGUGAAUUGCAGAAUUCAGUGAAUCAUCGAAUCUUUGAACGCACAUUGCGCCCUUUGGUAUUCCUUAGGGCAUGCCUGUUCGAGCGUCAUUUCAACCCUCAAGCCUAGCUUGGUGUUGGGCGUCUGUCCCGCCUCCGCGCGCCUGGACUCGCCUCAAAAGCAUUGGCGGCCGGUUCCCAGCAGGCCACGAGCGCAGCAGAGCAAGCGCUGAAGUGGCUGCGGGUCGGCGCACCAUGAGCCCCCCCACACCAGAAUUUUGACCUCGGAUCAGGUAGGGAUACCCGCUGAACUUAAGCAUAUCAAUAAGCGGAGGAAAAGAAACCAACAGGGAUUGCCCUAGUAACGGCGAGUGAAGCGGCAACAGCUCAAAUUUGAAAUCUGGCCCCCUAGGGGGUCCGAGUUGUAAUUUGCAGAGGGUGCUUUGGCGUUGGCAGCGGUCUAAGUUCCUUGGAACAGGACGUCACAGAGGGUGAGAAUCCCGUACGUGGUCGCCAGCCUCCGCCGUGUAAAGCCCCUUCGACGAGUCGAGUU
rnacentral:misc_RNA from 1 species